ensembl:snRNA U4 U4 spliceosomal RNA
AUCAAAGUGGCAGAAUCAUAGCCAAUGAGGCUUAUCUAAGGUGUAAUCAUUGCUAACUGAAAACUCUUCCCAGACCCCAUUGUAAUGACUUUCAAUAUAAUCAGCAUUGGAAAUUUUUAACAAUUUCUAUGAAG